AUUGAACGCUGGCGGCAGGCCUAACACAUGCAAGUCGAACGGUAGCACAGAGAGCUUGCCCUCGGGUGACGAGUGGCGGACGGGUGAGUAACGUCUGGGAACCUGCCCGAUGGAGGGGGAUAACUACUGGAAACGGUAGCUAAUACCGCAUAACGUCGCAAGACCAAAGUGGGGGACCUUAGGGCCUCACACCAUCGGAUGUGCCCAGAUGGGAUUAGCUAGUAGGUGGGGUAAUGGCUCACCUAUGCGACGAUCCCUAGCUGGUCUGAGAGGAUGACCAGCCACACGGGAACUGAGAAACGGUCCAGACUCCUACGGGAGGCGGCAGUGGGGAAUAUGGCACAAUGGGCGCAAGCCUGAUGCAGCCAUGCCGCGUGUAUGAAGAAGGCCUUCGGGUUGUAAAGUGCUUUCAGCGGGGAGGAAGGCGGUGAAGUUAAUAGCUUCACCGAUUGACGUUACCCGCAGAAGAAGCACCGGCUAACUCCGUGCCAGCAGCCGCCGUAA
rnacentral:rRNA from 1 species